AUAGACUGAAACUUAAUUGCUGAAGUAAGCCACUAUACCAUGUUGCUUGGUGUUAACGCCAAGAUCUUUCUCCACGUCCCAAUUACGUAAGACGUCCUGAUCCUGCACAGUAAACACGGUCAACACCGAAAGCUUGACGGCGGUUCCGUCGGGGGAUAGCUCAGGCGUGAGAAUUAGUACGUGUUCACAAGGUUAACAAUGGAGGAAUAUAUGGUCUAGUGUAUUGAGAGAGAUAAUAAAUCUCAGUUGUGUGUGUAUGGGAGAAUAUGAAUAAUCAAUAUAUGUGAGAACGUACCUCCAUACGAUGGCUUCCUUGCUAAGUUAUAUUACCUUUGCUUGGAUUACUGUGCCACCCACUACUACCUGACACCCCCUCUGAUCUGAUGGGCUCUGCCGACUAUAUCAGGUUUAUCUACUGCUUUUGGCCACUGUUUUCUACCGCCGGCCGGUUAUGAUCCCAUCCACAUUAAUGCAUGGCAGGAGCCUUGGUCAACUGUCAUGCUUUUUCAUCAUCACAAGUCAAAGUAACAGAUAUUAAAAUA
rnacentral:lncRNA from 1 species